CUCCAGCACUGGGCUGUAAUAACGAAGAGGGUACUGCUCUUCAUCACUGUAGUAACCAAGCACACAUACACACAAAUACAUACAAAUAAAAAAUGAGACCCACCAAACAUGUAAAAUAAAGGGGCAGUCGUUAAGAUAGUAACAACAAAGUACUAUGUUCCAAUAAUUGCCUGGAAAUGAGAGCAACGGUGUUAAAAAAGCAUAAUAAUUCCAUGGAGGUAAAAUUGAAUUUUAAGCAAAUGCCCUUAAAUUAAAGUAUGGAAUGUGCUCUUUAAUCACAUCACAUGAUUGGUUUUAUUUGGAAUUUCAAACUGUGGAACGGGGAGAUAUCAGUCCCAGCUGACAGAACUGAGAACAGUUCUCAGAAGGAGUCAAACGAGCACUGGAUGUUAAUCUACACAGAUUUCUCUCCUGAAAACUGUUUAUUUUGACAAAUCCUUCACAAAAAAGAGAAAAGUAAGUCAAAAAUUUCUCCACAGGCACGGGAUUUUUUCUAAUGGAAAUGUUAGUGACAAAAAAAAUCAUCCUUUGAUUUCUUUUCGACAGGACUGUACAUACUGUAAUGCCAAGAAUGAAGUAAAGUCUGAUGAUAUUUAUUGAUUCAUGGUUGUGGUUUGAAAUUGCAGUGAGAGACCAGAAUAUUUCUGUAGCCUAAUUUACACUACUAGCAUCCCCUUGGCCCAUUAUAGUGUAGAGAGCGCCACCUGCUGGCAUUCACAUUAUCAGCAAGAAUGAAAUAAUCACAUCACAGUCGUUGGAUUAAGUAACGACCCCCCCCCCCCCAUUUAAAAAUGCUCCUGACACCCCUGUACAGCACAGUGUAUUAACAUUCUGCAGACACUGUGCUGUAUAGUAUAAUUCAGCACAGGUCAGUCAGGAAAACACCUUAAAAUUAAACUCUUCAGUUUAACUCUUCAGAGGAAGCACUGCAGGGGUUUAGUACAGCAGUAAAUACAGCAGUAAAUAAGGUAAUGAUACUCACAGGCUUUGGUUAAAGAAAGAGCAGUUCUGGUUCUCCAUUUCAGCCAGACUACUGAAAAAUAUAAACACAUAAGCCAUUAUAUUCAUAUUUCUACAAAAUAAAAAUGUUCUUUUCACAGUAAAGACA
rnacentral:lncRNA from 1 species